rnacentral:lncRNA from 1 species
UGAAUGAAACUCUUGCCAAGAUCUCGAAUACAUCCAUGUGGUGUUAAGCCUCGUGAAUGAAAAGAUGAAAAAGUAGGAAUAGAAUUGGUCCAGUUGAAAUGAGAAAGGUUUCGGGGACGAAACCUCUUUUAAGGGGGGUAGAUUUGUAACGCCCCAAAAAUGAAAACUCAAUAAAACAAGUGAGGAUAAAUAACAAACUUAACAUAAUUAAGGAUUUAUGGCAAGAUGGUAGUGAAAUGUAGUUUAAAGAUUAGAUUUGUAAUUAGCAACUAAGUGAAGGGGGUAAAGUGCAAAGUGGUUAAACUUAAAUUAGUUAAAAAAAAAAAAACAAACUAAACCCCAAACACAGUGAGUGUGUCUGGGGGAACGAUCGAACAAGGAAGGAGGAGGGGGAAACCCUAAACUCAAGAAAUCAAGCAAUUGAAGCCUAAAAUCAUAAGAAAAUCCAGUGCAUGAGCCAUCUUAUCGAUCAUCUAAGCAUACCUAGUGAAGUGCUUGAAAGAAUAAGAACCAUGUCAAGAUGGACCAACUCAUGGGAAGCAAACGGGUCAAAGAGGAGGCAAAGAAACUAGCAUAAACAUGACGAGCACGAGGUUAUGAAUGUCGGACUUUCAAAGUGUUGAUAUAAUAAUGAAACGGUUGAAUCUUGAAAGGAUAAUCGGAUUGAAGUAACUUAUGCGGUAAAUCCUCAAUUCAGGCGACUUGGAGAAUCGGAGCGAGCGCGUGUUCAUGUUAUGUCAUACUAAACGCUUCCGCUAGCUUGUUCAAAUGUUUUUAGUCCAAAAUUUGUUGUAUUGGUUCUUAGUAGUAUUUUGUCGAAUGAAUCGUAGAAUUGUAUCUAGUUUGAUUAUGUUUAAAACAGGGGAAUGCUCGUUUUAUGGACGGGUCAUGCCCAAUUUUUGUUAAAUUAAUGCACCUGCGUUAUUGAU